rnacentral:misc_RNA from 1 species
GUAUUAAUUGCGUGUGAUCGCAAAAGAAAAACAUUCUACACUGUAUCAAGUUUUGUGUGAAAACGUGAGCCCUCCUGCAAAGGGGACCCACGCGGUGAUGCACAAGGGGUGAAAUGGAUGUGUGAGAGUGCUCAGGCGUGCACGACCUUUUGAAAGGUCAGCGACAGCCCUCGCACCCCCGUUGUAUGAUAAUGAUCCUUCCGCAGGUUCACCUACGGAAA